CGGGAAUUUUGGGCAAUGGGCGAAAGCCUGACCCAGCAACGCCGCGUGAGGGAUGAAGUAUUUCGGUAUGUAAACCUCGAAAGAAUGGGAAGAAUAAAUGACGGUACCAUUUAUAAGCUCCGGCUAACUACGUGCCAGCAGCCGCGGUAAUACGUAGGGAGCAAGCGUUGUUCGGAUUUACUGGGCGUAAAGGGCGCGUAGGCGGCGCGGUAAGUCACUUGUGAAAUCUCUGAGCUUAACUCAGAACGGCCAAGUGAUACUGCUGUGCUAGAGUGCGGAAGAGGCAACCGGAAUUCUUGGUGUAGCGGUGAAAUGCGUAGAUAUCAAGAGGAACACCUGAGGCGAAGGCGGGUUGCUGGGCCGACACUGACGCUGAUGCGCGAAAGCCAGG
rnacentral:rRNA from 1 species